rnacentral:rRNA from 1 species
GAUGAACGCUAGCGACAGGCUUAACACAUGCAAGUCGAGGGGCAGCGGAGUUGUAGCUUGCUAUAACUGCCGGCGACCGGCGCACGGGUGAGUAACACGUAUGCAACCUGCCCGUUGCAGGGGGAUAAGCGGAAGAAAUUCCGUCUAAUACCGCGUAAUAUACUUUAGGGGCAUCCUUUUAGUAUUAAAGAUUUAUCGGCAACGGAUGGGCAUGCGGCGCAUUAGCUAGUUGGUGCGGUAACGGCGUACCAUGGCGACGAUGCUUAGGGGUUCUGAGAGGAAGGUCCCCCACACUGGUACUGAGAUACGGACCAGACUCCUACGGGAGGCAGCAGUGAGGAAUAUUGGUCAAUGGUCGGAAGACUGAACCAGCCAUGCCGCGUGCAGGAAGAAAUGUCUUAUGGAUUGUAAACUGCUUUUGUAUGGGGCUAAUAAUAACUUUGCGAAGUUAGAUGCAGGUACCAUACGAAUAAGGAUCGGCUAACUCCGUG